UAAAAACAUGUCUUUUUGAGUUUAAUUUAAAGUCUGACCUGCCCACUGAUAUUUUUUUUUGAAGGGCCGCGGUAUAUUGACUGUGCAAAGGUAGCAUAAUCAUUUGUCUUUUAAUUGAAGGCUAGAAUGAAUGGUUUGAUAAAAUAUUAACUGUCUCAAUUUAAUAAUAAUAAUAAUUUAAUUUUUAAGUUAAAAAGCUUAAAUAUUUUUAAAAGACGAGAAGACCCUAUAGAUCUUUAUUAUUUUAUUUAAUUAAAUAUAUAGAAAUAUAAUAAUUAAGUUUUAUAAAAUAAUUUUAUUGGGGUGAUAAGAAAAUUUAAUUAACUUUUUUUAUAUUUUAAACAAUAAUAUUUGUUAAUAUUUGAUCCAUUUUUAUUGAUUAUAAGUUUAAGUUACCUUAGGGAUAACAGCAUAAUUUUUUUAGAGAGUUCUUAUCGAUAAAAAAGAUUGUGACCUCGAUGUUGAAUUAAGAAUUAUUUUAGGUGCAAAAGUUUAAAUUAUAGGUCUGUUCGACCUUUAAAUUCUUACAUGAUCUGAUUACAAACAAGA
rnacentral:rRNA from 1 species